UGACACGUUGAUUCUAGAAGUAACUUCUGACCCCAUUCCAGCUGUUUUCACUGAUGGAGGAUUCUGGGGGAAUGGCUAUAGGGGAGAGGUGAGCAGGAGCUGGAGCAGAAUAGGCUGUAAAGUUGGGGCUCAGCCUGGGUCUGGAACAGUUUCAAUCUGUGGUUGAGAAGACAAGCUCAAAUCCCUUCCCACCAGGAACCUUUGUUGAGCCUCUGGCUCCUGCCAAUCUCUGGCGGGUUGGGGUUCUGACUGCCUAAUCUCUAUGAGCACCUCAGUCUCCACCUCUGAAAAACUGAUCCUAGCUGAUCCUAGCUCCCAGGGCUUAGGUAGAGAUCAGUCAUAUGAGAAGCUGAAGUGAGAAGGCAUGAUGAGCUCUUGGGGCUUACUUUGGUUUGGAUUCCUCUGGAAGCAAAUCGUAAGACAGGAUGAAAGUGCAAGUAGUUUAUCUGGGAGGUGGUCGCAGGAAAUCUUCCUGUCCUCUGGGAGAAGAAGACAUGGCGGGGAAGGGAAGAAAGCCAGGAAAGGGUGCAUGAUUGGGCUGAUGACAGUGGUGACGUCUGCAGUUUACGUCCCCUGGGGACUCUGGGAGCCAGCAGAACACACCUCAGACCAAGGCGGGAGGAAGCUGCAUUAUCUAUGUAUCAGUGGGCCAGCUGUGUUGGUCGAGGCUACUUCCAGCUUCGUGUGGCCAAGGUCUCCUACAGCUAGAAAUCAAGCCCUGGGCGGAGAAAUGCAGCAUCUUCUCCUGAUCAGAAUUUAUGGAUACACGCUUCUAGUCAACUGACCUGGGGCCACUUCUGUUGUGCAGCCCACUCCAGCUGGCCCCCUAGUCGUCUUCCCUCGGGGUUGUCACUCUGCCCUUCCCACAAAGGUUCCAUAAUAUAACCAACAGAAAUAAUUACCCUGCCUCAGAUUGCAGAUUAGCACAUGAAUGCCUGUUUAUCACAUGAAAGGCCUCUAGAUCCAGCUGGAGGAAAACAUCCAAUAGGAGACCAGACGGACUGCAGCUCUGAGAUCAGUCUGGUGGAGUCUCCUGCCGGGUGGCUCACUCCUGAUGUGGGGUUGUGGGCUGUUUCCAGUGUCACUGUCAGUGUUUCAAAACUUUGACUAUUAACAUUUUGGAUGUGAUUUGGAGCAGGGAAGGGACAUCUACAAGGGGAGUGUGGAGGGCUUUGGGAUUAUCCAACUUUAUACUUUUCCAGCAGUGUGACAAAUCUCCUGUCCUUGAGCCUCAUUCCUCAUCUGUAAAAUGGAUGUAAUCAAUCGUAGGAUGAGCCUCCUAGAGUUUUUUUUUUUUAAAUAAUUUUUAUUGGUGUUCAAUUUACCAACAUACAGAAUAACACCCAGUGCUCAUCCCGUCAAGUGUCCCCCUCAGUGCCUGUCACCCAUUCACCCCACCCCCCACCCUCCUCCCCUUCCACCACCCCUAGUUCACUUCCCAGAGUUAGGAGUCUUUAUGUUCUGUCUCCCUUCCUGAUAUUUCCCACACAUUUCUUCUCUCUUCCCUUAUAUUCCCUUUCACUAUUAUUUAUAUUCCCCAAAUGAAUGAGAACAUACACUGUCCUUCUCCGAUUGACUUACUUCACUCAGCAUAAUGCCCUCCAGUUCCAUCCACGUUGAAGCAAAUGGUUGGUAUUUGUCGUUUCUAAUAGAGCCUCCUAGAGUUGAGUUGAGUUGAGUUUAGUAAGUGUAUCUUCAGUGCCUGGUGUGGUGUAGACCAGGGCAGGGCAACCUUUCUCUGUAAAGGGUCAGGCAGUCAAUAGUCUGGCUUUGUGGGUACCUAU
rnacentral:lncRNA from 1 species